UGGGGAAUAUUGCACAAUGGGCGCAAGCCUGAUGCAGCCAUGCCGCGUGUAUGAAGAAGGCCUUCGGGUUGUAAAGUACUUUCAGCGAGGAGGAAGGCAUUGUGGUUAAUAACCACAGUGAUUGACGUUACUCGCAGAAGAAGCACCGGC
rnacentral:rRNA from 1 species